UAAGAAAUGGAACAAAUAUUUAAAAAUGGAGGGAGUAUUUGUCAAUUUAAUUGUCUAAACUAUGUGUCCGUCAAACUGUAACAAAAAAAAAAACGGAGUGAGUACCACGGACCCAUCACCUUCUCGGCUUCUCUUGUUCUUCACCCUUAUUAAUUAAUUCAUUCAUCAUAAAAAUGCAACACUACUACUACACUACCCAUUAAUUGGGAUUUAUCCAGAUGAAUUUAUCCAAAAAUCCAAUCCAGUAUACUGCAUCUUAGAGACAUGGAAUUGCAGGUGCAGACAAAAGGGGUUGAUCUGCCAGAGAAGUAGUUUCCAACCAGAACUGGAGUAUUGAUGAUCAGUGGCAAUCCACGAAGAGGUGCAGAUGGCCUUGUUUUCUUUUAUGGAGAUCAUGGUAACCAUUUUGUUAACAAUGAUGGAUCAGAUCUGCUACUACCUACUUGUGAGAAGUAGAGAGAUCUCAGGCUUGGGUUUGAUACUUCGAUGAACUGUUUGGUUACUCUUCUUAACCUGGAAUAUAAUUGUAAGGUUUUGAUACAAGGAAUUGGAGGCGAAAACCAAAUUUGAAGAGCUAUUAAGAUUCCAACCAACUCAAUAUGAUGGAUCCAUUCGUAGCAUCUGGAUCAGAAAUGCCUGUAGGGAUUCCGGGACCUCUGAAUAUAGGUCCGUUUUCUGGAAACGCAAAGUAGCCCAACCUCUUUCGUGCUGCUUUCACAGCCCAAGAGAGAGCUCAGCAACGCUAUCAUCUAAAGUAUGACUUCCAUGGUCUGGUCUAAUGUGAUUCGGUCUGAUUCAAACAUUAAUAAGUAGCAAGCUCUUGAAAUAAGGUAAAUUUCUGGGAAAACUUUUGUAUACACCCGGUUUUCAGUAAUUUACUGUACAUCGGGUACACUUUUGUCA